GCAUGAUCGGGGCAAUCUGGCGUGGUAAUACGGAGUGUUGAGGCGUUAUCCGUAUUUAUUGGGUUUAAAGGUUUCUUAGGAGGGCUCGUAAGUCAGUGGUGAAAUCCUGCAGCUUAACUGUAGAACUGCCGUUGAUACUGCGAGUGUUGAGUAAAUUUGAAGUGGCUGGAAUAAGUAGUGUAGCGGUGAAAUGCAUAGAUAUUACUUAGAACACCAAUUGCGAAGGCAGGUCACUAAGAUUUAACUGACGCUGAUGGACGAAAGCGUGGGGAGCGAACAGGAUUAGAUACCCUAGUAGUC
rnacentral:rRNA from 1 species